AUCAACUUAAAGAAGUCCAGACGCUUUUCUUUGCAAACUCCUUUGACAUUUGAAUAUCUCUGUCAGCUCCUUUCAGCAAGAAUGCUUAGACAGGAUACUCAUCUCCGCCAAUCCAUACCUGUGAGCAAGCGCGUUGGAAUCGGGCUGUAUUGGCUGGCAACAGGCGCAUGUUAUCGGACCAUGUCAAACCUGUUCUGAGUUGCCAAAUCCAGUUUGUUCCAUCGUCCAUGAAUUUUGCUUUGCAGUCCGCUAUGUCCUCAUGCCUGAGUACAUUAAAUGGCCUCGAGGAGAUGACCUGAUACAAGUUAUUGAAGGCUUCAGACAGUGAUGGGGGUUCCCACAGUGUGCUGGAGCAAUAGAUGGGAGUCACAUUCCCAUCACUGCUCCUGAGGACAAUCACUGUGAUUAUUUUAACCGCAAAGGCUGGCACUCUGUCAUCCUUCAGGGCGUCGUCGACCAUCAAUUCUGUUUCACUAACAUCUACACUGGAUGGCCAGGAAGCGUUCACGAUGCCAGGGUUCUCAAGAAUUCUGAGAUAUACACAAUGGCAGAGAGAGGGAAGCUAUUUCCACCAGUUACAGAAGAAAUCAUGGGUGUUGAAGUUCCAGUCAUGCUGCUCGGUGACCCUGCAUAUCCCCUGCGAAGCUGGCUGCUGAAGGGAUACGCAGAUACAGGAACCCUAACUGAAGAACAACAAUACUUCAACCAGAGACACAGUAGAGCCAGGAUGACAGUGGAGUGUGCAUUUGGCCGACUUAAGGGUCAGUGGAGGUGCCUUGGGAAACGUCUUGAUGUGGACAUCCACACUGUUCCCACAAUAAUAGCUGCAUGCUGCACACUCCACAAUGUGUGUGAAAAACAUGGUGAAGCCUACAAUGAAACUGAUAACGCUGAUUUGCGUGAUUCUAGAGGUACCGAAGGAGGCAUCUUACCAGAUGUUCAGCCAAUAAGAAUAAGAGAGGUGCUGACCCAAUUUUUUCAUAGUCAACGUUAAGGCACAAAAGCCAUGGUUUCAUCUCAUUGUCAAUAAAUUUGAGCUUGAUGUUUAAGUGAUGCAUUCACAAAAUUUAAAGUAAAGCAUUCAAAGUUAUUUUUUUAUGGAAAAUAUUUAUUUUGACAUGUGUAACAUGUACACUUCUUCCUCUGUGUACUGAAAUUGCAAUGUUGUUUGUCUCAAAACAUAUAAGUUUGCAUAUGAAAAGCACAAAUUAAAUCUGAAAGACCCACUGUCCUUCAGCAGUACUGAAAAUCUCUAACAACAAAUAUAAAGCAUUUUUGGAUGCAACGAUAAAUAACCAACAUUUUGCAUUGAAAGUAAAGCCCCUCCAAAACAAUAUUAACAUAACAUUAACUGAAAUAUUUUUGGAGUAUCCAUUUAAAAUACAUUAAGUGAACCAUGUGUAAAACUUGCUUUUUAUAACAUUUAAACUAAUGCCUUAAAGUAGUUUAAUCCUGUUCAUCUGGAGGAGGGUAGGAUGACGUAAAGGCCUGGUUAAAGGAUGCAUGCUGAGCCUGAUCUCGAGGGUUUGGUCGUUCUGGUCUAAAGGGCUGACCCAGAUUGUGAGAUGGUGGAAGGGCAUUACCAAAAGGAAGAGGUUGAGCUAAAUCUUGUUGGAAAGACAGAGACUGAUUGGACAUCUCAAAUGGUGGAGACUGAGUUGAAGCCAUGGGGUAUGGAGUGGAAUGGAUGAGUGAAGACUGUGUUGGGCAGUAAAGAUGUGGAACCUGUACUGCCUGCUGGUAGAAAGGUGGUUGUUGGCGUGUGAUGAGCUGGGUCAACAUGGAGAGCACUUUAAGAUCGUGCUCAUGCUGAGCUGCUUGCAUCUUCAACAGAAGCUCCGACUCAUCAUUCUUCAAGGCGCUUGUAAUCUUGUCCGCAAAUAUUUCCAAAGUUGACUCCAUCUUUGACUUUCUCUUCCUGCUCUUGGCAGAUGUAUCUGUAAAGAGAAUAAUUGUUUGUGUUACUUCAACCAAAGGAUAAUUUUUAUGUUUGAAGGAUAGAGGGAAUUUCCAUAUGUAGUGCUGGUACGCACCUUGGAGAAAUUAGAACAUCACUGUAACAGUACAGGUCAGAAAUUAAGACUGUGGGGUAUUUGAUCAUUUGAGUCAAAUCAUGGUUUUUAUUUAAAAAACAUUGUACAAUCUACAGUAUGUCUUACAUUACAAUCUCGCCCCUCUGAGUAGUAUUAAUUAAAAGAUAUGUGUGCUUUAUCCAUGCUUAGGCAUCUAGAGUAAAAUUUAACUCCAUUAGUUUGCCUUGUGAGGUCUCAACAUGACACUUUACUUUGAAAAAACGUUUUUAUUCUAAUGGGAUGAUGAAAAGUUUGCAACAACAAUGUUCUAUUUAAUAUAUGGGUUACUUACUUCGGGUUUGUGCAUUCUUCUUUAUGGAAUUAUCUGCAUUCACUGCAGAUGAAGAACUUUCGUCUGAUGCAGAAUCAAAUGUCAGUGACACAGGAGUAUCCUCACCCAGUGUACAGGCGCCUUUCGAAAAUACAAUCAUACAACCUAUUAAAAAGUUAUGUAC